CGGGGCAUAGCUCAAAUGGCUUAGAGCGUCCCGUUUGGGACGGGAAGGUUCCCAGUUCAAGCCUGGGUGCCCCGA
rnacentral:tRNA from 1 species